GUAAAUACAUCUAAAAGCAUAUUGCAUUUGGUUCCAACCAUCUCUUAGACCUAAACCUCACCUGGGGUUGUGCAUGUGAAGAUGGGGUGUGAAUAUCAUGGUCUCGUCAUAUUGACUAAGUUGUUGUUUAGAUGAGGUGUAGUUAUCAUGGUCUAGUCAUAUUGACUAAGUUGUUGUUUAGAUGAGGUGUAGUUAUCAUGGUCUCGUCAUAUUGACUAAGUUGUUGUUUAGAUGAGGUGUAGUUAUCAUGGUCAGGUCAUAUUGACUAAGUUGUUGUUUAGAUGAGGUGUAGUUAUCAUGGUCAGGUCAUAUUGACUAAGUUGUUGUUUAGAUGAGGUGUAGUUAUCAUGGUCAGGUCAUAUUGACUAAGUUGUUGUUUAGAUGAGGUGAAGUUAUCAUGGUCUAGUCAUAUUGACUAAGUUGUUGUUUAGAUGAGGUGUAGUUAUCAUGGUCAGGUCAUAUUGACUAAGUUGUUGUUUAGAUGAGGUGUAGUUAUCAUGGUCUCGUCAUAUUGACUAAGUUGUUGUUUAGAUGAGGUGUAGUUAUCAUGGUCAGGUCAUAUUGACUAAGUUGUUGUUUAGAUGAGGUGUAGUUAUCAUGGUCAGGUCAUAUUGACUAAGUUGUUGUUUAGAUGAGGUGUAGUUAUCAUGGUCAGGUCAUAUUGACUAAGUUGUUGUUUAGAUGAGGUGUAGUUAUCAUGGUCAGGUCAUAUUGACUAAGUUGUUGUUUAGAUGAGGUGUAGUUAUCAUGGUCAGGUCAUAUUGACUAAGUUGUUGUUUAGAUGAGGUGUAGUUAUCAUGGUCAGGUCAUAUUGACUAAGUUGUUGUUUAGAUGAGGUGUAGUUAUCAUGGUCAGGUCAUAUUGACUAAGUUGUUGUUUAGAUGAGGUGUAGUUAUCAUGGUCAGGUCAUAUUGACUAAGUUGUUGUUUAGAUGGGGUGUGAAUAUCAUGGUCAGGUCAUAUUGACUAAGUUGUUGUUUAGAUGAGGUGAAGUUAUCAUGGUCAGGUUAUAUUGACUAAGUUGUUGUUUAGAUGAGGUGUAGUUAUCAUGGUCUAGUCAUAUUGACUAAGUUGUUGUUUAGAUGAGGUGUAGUUAUCAUGGUCAGGUCAUAUUGACUAAGUUGUUGUUUAGAUGAGGUGUAGUUAUCAUGGUCAGGUCAUAUUGACUAAGUUGUUGUUUAGAUGAGGUGUAGUUAUCAUGGUCAGGUCAUAUUGACUAAGUUGUUGUUUAGAUGAGGUGUAGUUAUCAUGGUCAGGUCAUAUUGACUAAGUUGUUGUUUAGAUGAGGUGUAGUUAUCAUGGUCAGGUCAUAUUGACUAAGUUGUUGUUUAGAUGAGGUGUAGUUAUCAUGGUCAGGUCAUAUUGACUAAGUUGUUGUUUAGAUGAGGUGUAGUUAUCAUGGUCUCGUCAUAUUGACUAAGUUGUUGUUUAGAUGAGGUGUAGUUAUCAUGGUCAGGUCAUAUUGACUAAGUUGUUGUUUAGAUGAGGUGUAGU